rfam:Brugia pahangi genome assembly, scaffold: BPAG_scaffold0000001
GGUCAGCUGGCCGAGUGGCUAAGGCGAUGGACUGCUAAUCUACUGAGUUUCCCUACAUGAGUUCGAGUCUCAUCCUGGCCG